CCUACGGGAGGCAGCAGUGAGGAAUAUUGGUCAAUGGCCGGAAGGCUGAACCAGCCAUGCCGCGUGAAGGUCAGUGCCCUAUGGGCGUUAAACCUCUUUUGUGCGGGAGCAAUAAUGGUCACGUGUGGCCAGACGAGAGUACCGUAGGAAUAAGCAUCGGCUAACUCCGUGCCAGCAGCCGCGGUAAUACGGGGGAUGCAAGCGUUAUCCGGAGUUAUUGGGUUUAAAGGGUGCGUAGGCUGUGAGGUAAGUCAGCGGUGAAAUGCCCCGGCUCAACGGGGUGAAGUGCCAUUGAUACUGCCUUGCUGGAAUGCGGAUGCCGUGGGAGGAAUGUGUGGUGUAGCGGUGAAAUGCAUAGAUAUCACACAGAACACCGAUUGCGAAGGCAUCUCACGAAUCCGCGAUUGACGCUGAUGCACGAAAGCGUGGGUAUCAAACAGGAUUAGAUACCCUUGUAGUC
rnacentral:rRNA from 1 species